CGUGCCUAAUACAUGCAAGUCGAACGGUCUUUCUAUGGAAGCUUGCUUCCACUGAGAAGAUAGUGGCGAACGGGUGAGUAACACGUGGGUAACCUGCCCAUAAGAGGGGGGAUAACAUCCGGAAACGGGUGCUAAUACCGCAUAGUUUUUCUUGAUCGCAUGAUUGAGAAAGGAAAGACGGCCUUUGUGCUGUCGCUUAUGGAUGGACCCGCGGCGUAUUAGUUAGUUGGUGAGGUAACGGCUCACCAAGACGAUGAUACGUAGCCGACCUGAGAGGGUGAUCGGCCACAUUGGGACUGAGACACGGCCCAAACUCCUACGGGAGGCAGCAGUAGGGAAUCUUCCGCAAUGGACGAAAGUCUGACGGAGCAACGCCGCGUGAGUGAAGAAAGGUUUUCGGAUCGUAAAACUCUGUUGUCAGAGAAGAACAAGUUGGAGAGUAACUGCUCCAGCCUUGACGGUAUCUGACCAGAAAGCCACGGCUAACUACGUGCCAGCAGCCGC
rnacentral:rRNA from 1 species